rnacentral:rRNA from 1 species
UACGUAGGGGGCCAGCGUUGCUCGGAAUUACUGGGCGUAAAGGGUUCGUAGGUGGUGCGGCAAGUUGGAAGUGAAAUCUCUGGGCUUAACCCAGAGGCUGCUUUCAAAACUGCCGCGCUCGAGUGCGAGAGAGGUCAGUGGAAUCGCAGGUGUAGCGGUGAAAUGCGUAGAUAUCUGCAGGAACACCCGUGGCGAAGGCGGCUGACUGGAUCGCAACUGACACUGAGGAACGAAAGCUAGGGGAGCAAACAGG